rnacentral:rRNA from 1 species
CAUGUCCUUUUGAUUUUAAUUUAAGGUCUAAUCUGCUCGAUGAUUAAUUAAAUUGCCGCAGUAUUUUAACUGUGCUAAGGUAGCAUAAUCAUUAGUUUCUUGAUUAGGAGCUGGAAUGAAUGAUUGGACGAAAUUAUUUCUGUCUCAUUUUGAGGUUUUUUUGAAUUUUAUUUUUAAGUGAAAAAGCUUAAAUUUAUUUAAAAGACGAGAAGACCCUAUAGAGUUUUAUAUUGAUUAAUUUUUAGGAAUUUUUUUUAUAUUUGUUUGGGGUGAUUUGGAGACUUAAUUAAUUCUUUAAAUUUUUUAUUGAUGAUUAUUAAUUUUAAAUUUUAAUUAUUUUAAAAUUAAAAAAAUUACCUUAGGGAUAACAGCGUAAUUUUUCUUUAAAGUUCUUAUUGUAAGAGAAGUUUGCGACCUCGAUGUUGGAUUAAAAUUAAUUAUUGGCGCAAUAGCUGAUUAAUUGGGUCUGUUCGACCUUUAAAAUU